GACGAACCGUGCGAACGUUGUUCGGAAUUACUGGGCGUAAAGGGCUCGUAGGCGGCCAACUAAGUCAGACGUGAAAUCCCUCGGCUUAACCGGGGAACUGCGUCUGAUACUGGAUGGCUUGAGAUUGGGAGAGGGAUGCGGAAUUCCAGGUGUAGCGGUGAAAUGCGUAGAUAUCUGGAGGAACACCGGUGGCGAAGGCGGCAUUCUGGACCGACAUUGACGCUGAGGAGCGAAAGCCAGGGGAGCAAACGGGG
rnacentral:rRNA from 1 species